rnacentral:rRNA from 1 species
UACGAGUGCUUCAAGCGUUAUCCGGAAUCAUUGGGCGUAAAGGGUGUGUAGGCGGCGAUGUUAGUCUCUCGUUAAAUUCUUCGGCUUAACCGGGGGCUCGCGGGAGAAACGGCAUUGCUUGAGGAUGGAAGGGGUCUGCGGAACUCAUGGUGUAGCGGUGAAAUGCGUUGAUAUCAUGGGGAACACCGAAAGCGAAGGCAGCAGACUGGUCCACUCCUGACGCUGAAACACGAAAGCGUGGGUCGCGAAUGGG